UACGUAGGGGGCGAGCGUUAUCCGGAUUUACUGGGCGUAAAGCGCGUUAAGGCGGUCGGCCAAGUUGGUUGUGAAAUCUCAGGGCUCAACCCUGAAAUUGCGACCAAUACUGGUCGACUAGAGUGUGAGAGAGGAAGGUGGAAUUCCCGGUGUAGUAGUGAAAUGCGUAGAUAUCGGGAGGAACACCAGUGGCGAAGGCGGCCUUCUGGCUCAUAACUGACGCUGUAGCGCGAAAGCGUGGGGAGCGAACCGG
rnacentral:rRNA from 1 species